UACGGAGGGGGUUAGCGUUGUUCGGAUUUACUGGGCGUAAAGCGUCUGUAGGCGGGAUGGUAAGUCAGAUGUGAAAUCCCGGGGCUCAACCCCGGAACUGCAUCCGAUACUGCCAACCUAGAGGGUCGGAGGGGAGUCUGGAAUUCUCGGUGUAGCAGUGAAAUGCGUAGAUAUCGAGAGGAACACUCGUGGCGAAGGCGAGACUCUGGACGACACCUGACGCUGAGAGACGAAGGCCAGGGUAGCGAAAAGG
rnacentral:rRNA from 1 species